CUGGCCCCCAGAGGUCAAACACAACAAUCCUGAUGUGGCCCUCAAUGAAAUUGAGUUUGACACCCGUGAUUUAUAUUGAUCUUGAUAUUGUACUUCUAUUAAAACAGCUUAGGAUUGCUUUUUCUUGUUUCAUUAUUUGGAGCUGCACAACAUUGUUGGAUCAUAUUCAGCUUGUAAUCUACUAGAUCAGUGAUGGCAAACCUUUUAGGCACAGAGUGCCCAAACCAGAAGGUGUGUGUGUGCAUGCAUGUGCUAGAGCACCGGAAAUCCGCCGACCACUGGCCGGCAUGCAUGCCCGCCUCAGAAACCCAAUGACCAGCUGGCUGAGCUGGGGCAAUGGCACCCGGGUCCACAGAAAGGGCUCUGCGUGCCACCUCUGGCACAUGUGCCACAGGUUCGCCAUCACGGUACUAGAUCCUUUUGAUAUAUAUUGCUGCCUGUGUCAUACACACGCUUUUAAUUUUUUCCUAUUUCAGUAUAAGGCUCUAGAUUUGUUGCUAUGAAUUUCAUCUUGCUGCUCUUGCUACUUAUUUGAGUUUGUCAGGAUCUUCCUGAAUCUUUUUAUUAUGUAUUGAGAAGUUUGCUGUCCCUCCAUAUUCAUGUCAUAAGCAAAUUUGAUAACCAUAGAUAGUAAUCCUUUAGUCAAAUUGCUUACAAAUAUGUUGAACAGCACAGGACUUAAAAUGAGUUCUGCAGCACAACAGUCAGAACUAACUUCCAGCUUAGAAUGGCCUUCGCUGAACAACACCUAACAGGGAGUUACACUGGCCUUAUCUUAACAAAAUACAAUUCUGUAGAAACAAUUUCAAGAUGUUAGAUGGAGUCUAACUAAGAUGCUCACCACUAUGAUAGACAUUCUAGUGGGAAAAAUAGGGUUUAAUGAAAGUUUCUUUUGCCAACUGACUUUGAGAUUUACUCUUCUGAGUAAAAAUGGUAAUACAUAAACAUGUCCUUAUUACUAUGAUGUUCUGCCAGUAGAAUACUGUAAGAGGAACUGUGUUUUGUCCUAAUACUACUACAUCAGUGUAGCAUUACACUGAUAAAGGUAUUGGUGUGAUUAGAAAUAUCCUCUUAUAUAUAAUGGAGAGCCAAAACAAAAUCAUGAUAGAACUGCUACAUUGCUAUGGUGUAAUUAAGAUUUCAAUUAACCCUGCCUUUAAUCCCAGUUUAUCUUUACCAGUACAUAAACCCCAGACAAGAUUUCUAGCUGAAAUAUUAGAGUAUGCUCUUGUCUGUGUAUAUGAGAGAAGGAGGGAGGUAAAAGAGUGUGAUAAUGAGAAUGAGAGAACAUUCGCAACUGACCAAGGGACUGUGUGAUGAUGAGAAAUACAGAAGAAUACUUUGCACAAUAGUUCACCCUGCCCAGAGGAUACUGCUGACAUUUGCUAGAGAACUCCCAACAGCUACCUUAUCCUAAGACAUGAACAUCUAUCAUCAACACUACGCCUACAACUGGGAUAAAAGGACAAAGCAUCUCGAACAGGUAAGCUAUGUAUGGUGGAAUGCCAAAGAGGCUUUGGGAACACAGAGAGGUAACAAAACAGUUAAGGGAGGAGGAAAUAGGGGCACUGUGAAUCAGAUUGUUGAGUCUGGGGAAGAGGAGAAGCAUGAAAAAGAUGACCCAGAUUAACUGUACCUUAAUUACAGUCCAUACAGGCUAUGAAUUUACUUGGUAAAUUUCAUUUCAAUAUUGUUACAUUAGUCCAUAAGCAAUAAAGAAUGUUUGAGGAAUCUUCAGAUUUUUGUUUCCGAAACUAGCCAGGCUUGUAGAGCUUGAAACCAUACUUAAGAAUAAGAAUUUCCAUAAAUAUUCCCACCCCUUCCAAUAAAAAAAUGAAAGCUGCCUUUUGACUAAUUUUAUCAGCAAAUUGAUAUUUUCUUCUAUAAUACUUUGAUGCAGGUUUAGCGUAUGUGCUCCAGUAUAGCCAUGAAAACACUAAAUGCAAAUAAAUAGCUGUUAGUGAAAGCUAGAUAUUCUAAAUCUUGCUCCUUUUAAUCAUAUACUUAUGAUCCCUUCUGCCUCACAGCAUCAAAACCUGAACACAAGAAUAAACAUACAGAGGUUUUCUUCAGUGAAAGAUUCUACAUACUCUAUUUGCUAGAUGUGGAGGGGUAGAUAUUUUCCAUUCUCGGUGCCAUGCAGACUACAAGGAAAAUUUACAGCAAAACCAGACCAAUGUGAUUCCAACUAUUCCAUUGUGUGGUUGCCAAACAUAUUCCAAUAGGUUCCAUAUUUCAGCAACCAGUUACAUAAAAAGUGAAAAAAUGUUCUCUAUGGAAAAUUAAGCAAGGAUACCCACUACUAUUAUACAGUUUUCCGUUUAUAAAAUGUGACAGAGUGGUUUGCAAUCCCUUCUGUGUGGUUUUAUUUUAGAACUACAGCCCUAUAAGUGCUACAUGUAGAAAGAUGGGAUAUAUAUUUACAAUAAAAAUAAGGAUUUCACUUUAUUGCAGCUCUUGUCUUUUUGUUAGUAUAGAUGGUAAUGGUCACUUAACAUCUGGUUUCUAUUUUUCAUAAUCAUACUAAGUAAAAAGAGAGAUUUCUUAAUAUUAAGGUUUGGUGAUGGAUGGUUCUAUUAUCCAGCCCACUUGAGUGUUAGUUAUACUAAGGAAAUAGGCCCCUCAGCUUUCAACAGGAGGCCUGGUUUCUUGUUCUGUAAACAAGACAGUUGUUUAACAUUGCUUGAUGGAGAAAAGAUAUCUUAUUAAUAGCAAGCUGUCGUAUGCAUGCCUAUUUGGCAUUCCCUUGAUUAUUUAAAAGAACAUAUCUAUAUCUGUUUGUGUGGACUUCUCCCAAAGUCUUUUGUUGUGAGACUGCAUCCAUAGCUUGAACUUAAAGUUAUUGUAUAUGUUACUGCUAUAAUACAAUAAAGAUCUAAUGUUCCUUUACAGCCUGUGAACUAAAGGUGUAAAAGUCUGAACGUGUGUGUGUGUGUGUAUGCAUAUGUAUAUAUGUAUAUGUGUGUGUGUGUAUGUGUAUAGAGAGAUAGAUAGAUAGAUAGAUAGAUAGAUAGAUAGAUAGAUAGAUAGAUAGAUGAAAGAUGGAAUAUAUUUGAUGAUGGAAUAAGGAGUUGCUCUAGACUAUAGUGUGAGUUAGUUCUGCCUGCUAUUUCAUGUUUGUGUCUAACUUAAUUUUAGCUAUCAAUGUAUGCGGAUGAUGAAUUGGAUCUUACUCUACCAUUUCUCAUAAUAGAGCUUGAAUUUAUGUUUUCAGGUUUUUGAGAGCCUCCUUGAUAAAUAAUGAUUGUUCCAUACAGUAAAUGAAAAUUGCAUAUUAAUUCUGAGAGAUUCACACUUGUUAGAUUUUUGCUAACUGAACCUCAGUGUGCCAUGACAUAUAAUAUCUGUAUUGGUAAUCAUGUUUUAUAUGGUAGAAAAAGGUGAUUGGGGAUAGUUUCUUAUCACAGUGCAGAAGUUGCUGGAUUACUCAUCACAGUGUUAAAAUUGUUUAACUGUGGCUGUUGGAAUAAACUCUGCUUGGUGAGUUCACACACAGAACUCACUAAAAUGUAACAAACAUCAUUAUUAGUUCUUCGUGCUUGGCUACUGUUGGAGAAGAGAACAUUUUCUCCAUGUUAAGAUUAUUAUAGGUUUGGCAUUGUGGCAUGCAAUAGUUUGUACUUUUAUAUAUGUGUUUUGCUUUUUUCAAAUUUAGUGUUACCUGUUUUUAUUACAAGGAUAGGUAUCAAAUUAUAUAUAAAAUAUGUAGCAAAAUCUAGAGCUACAAAAAAGGCUUUUGUUCCUUAAGUGGGGCUCUUUAUGCAGUAAAUAACAUUAUCCAAUAAUGAGGAGGAAUAAUUGGGAAUCUUCUGUUAACUCUGAGGUUUGCAAAAGUAAUGGAAAAGCUUCACUGAAAAAGUUUUUAAGAGGAGCAAGUGAAUGAUGCACAUUGUCUUUGCACAAUGUGUAUGAAAGAUGUUCAUCUUAAAAGGGAACAGAUAGAGUGUAAGGAGAAAUUGCCUUGAAAAAGAAGAUGCUAGUUGUUAUCCUGUACAAGAGCACUCUACAUUGCAGUGUUUUGUUGCAGAUUCCACUUAAAAUUUAAAUUAAAUUUACAAUUUUUACAAGACAAAGAGUGUUUCAGGAGCCAUGUUUUUUUAACAUUAUACCCACCUAUUUGCCUAAAAGUCUGUUUGAAUAGUAACUCUGAGUUCAAAAUUUGUUUGCUACUUUGUAAUGUAUCAAUUGGCCUUAAUUAAGAUACUAUACUGUUUGUUAUUUUUAACUGGAUAACAUAGCUAUGUUCAAUGCCUAUAUUUUAAAGUUAGCUUAUUUAAAAAAGAUGCAGUUUUUUAUUUCUUUUAACCCUGUUUUUUGUAAAUAUAUAAGAGUGAUUUCUGUGUAUCUGUUCAAUCCAUGGCACUGAGAAUGUAUAAAUGUUGUACCAGAGGCUAACAAUCCUAUUCUUGGCUUCCAGCUUGGAACACCAAAAACAUAAAGUCAGUGAUGUACUAUAGUCAAUACCAGUUUUUGGAGAGAAAAAAAAAUCAUCUCUAUUUCUGACCAUGCUUUGUUCCCUUUGUAUGAAUAAGUCUAAAUCUAAAGAAAUUCUAAGCAGAGAGGCUAAAAAGAGCAUGGGGUUACUGUUGUUAUCAAGGAUUUCAGGCUCAUAUUUAAAAAUAGUUUAUGUAACAAUAACAUUACAAUUUGUAAGAGCUGAUUUAAACAUUUACAUUUAAGAUAAAUGUUAAUAGAUUAUUUGCUGUUCAGAUAAAGAAAUGGAACAGCAGGCUUAUUUUUUAGAUAGACAUGGCAACGUUAAUUUUCAUCCAGAUUAUUGUAUGCUUAAAUUAAUUGUCUAGCAAACUAGGUUUUUGUAGCAUUUUUAGCCAUGUUGUUAAAAA